GGGAUUUCACUGUAGCGAAAAUUCUGAUUGUAUUUAAAUCAAAUGCAGCCAUUUUUGAGGUCUAAAACCUCCAAAUUUCAUUCCCCAACCUUAAGAGGUGAUUUCCCAAAGUUUAAGGUGAAAUUCUUUCGUUGAGAUGGUUGAUUAUUCCAAGGCAUGAAGAAAAGGAAAGAUCAUCUUUGUUGCAACUUGUUUCUUCCAAAAGCAUGGCGUCCAGGUUGGAUUGCUAUUUCUUCGAAAAAAGGUUGGUUGCUAUUUUUCGACGAUCGUUUGCCUCUUUCUCUUCAAAUUAGGCCAAACAAAGGUAGGUUUAUUCUCUCUAUUUUCAUAUAGUGAAGUCUUUAUAUGUAAUGUAAUGGUGAAAUUAUUUGUUGUAGAAGGCUUAUAAAGCCAUAGGUUGUAUGAUGACUAUAUGGUGUGAGAGGGACAU